AUAUCUACCUGGCAAGGGAAAUACCACCAACAAGAAGGUGGUUUUCUCAAGGUGAGGCUUAUCCAUUUGCACACUGGAUAUGCUAACACCUACAAUUUCUCCAAAUGUGGGAAACUCAAUUGCAUAAUCUGUGGGAGUGGGGGACUGUGUUCGUGCCGUCCCCUA
ensembl:snRNA U1 U1 spliceosomal RNA